rnacentral:snRNA from 1 species
GUGCUUGCUUCAGCUGCACAAAUAUUGCAAAUUGGAAUGAUAAAGAGAA